AGAUGCAGUGUACCCGCGGCAAGACGGAAAGACCCCGUGAACCUUUACUAUAGCUUGACACUGAACAUUGAGCCUUGAUGUGUAGGAUAGGUGGGAGGCUUUGAAGUGUGGACGCCAGUCUGCAUGGAGCCGACCUUGAAAUACCACCCUUUAAUGUUUGAUGUUCUAACGUGGACCCGUGAUCCGGGUUGCGGACAGUGUCUGGUGGGUAGUUUGACUGGGGCGGUCUCCUCCUAAAGAGUAACGGAGGAGCACGAAGGUUGGCUAAUCCUGGUCGGACAUCAGGAGGUUAGUGCAAUGGCAUAAGCCAGCUUGACUGCGAGCGUGACGGCGCGAGCAGGUGCGAAAGCAGGUCAUAGUGAUCCGGUGGUUCUGAAUGGAAGGGCCAUCGCUCAACGGAUAAAAGGUACUCCGGGGAUAACAGGCUGAUACCGCCCAAGAGUUCAUAUCGACGGCGGUGUUUGGCACCUCGAUGUCGGCUCAUCACAUCCUGGGGCUGAAGUAGGUCCCAAGGGUAUGGCUGUUCGCCAUUUAAAGUGGUACGCGAGCUGGGUUUAGAACGUCGUGAGACAGUUCGGUCCCUAUCUGCCGUGGGCGCUGGAGAACUGAGGGGGGCUGCUCCUAGUACGAGAGGACCGGAGUGGACGCAUCACUGGUGUUCGGGUUGUCAUGCCAAUGGCACUGCCCGGUAGCUAAAUGCGGAAGAGAUAAGUGCUGAAAGCAUCUAAGCACGAAACUUGCCCCGAGAUGAGUUCUCCCUGAGACUUUAGGUCUCCUGAAGGAACGUUGAAGACGACGACGUUGAUAGGCCGGGUGUGUAAGCGCAGCGAUGCGUUGAGCUAACCGGUACUAAUGAACCGUGAGGCUUAACCUUAC
rnacentral:rRNA from 1 species